GGCACGAGCGCUCCGGAAGCGGAGGGGGCGGUGGGAGAAUGGCGGCCGGCUCGAGGUUGGAGCUCCGUGGUCCGGGCUUCCGCGAGCACGUCGUGAGGCAGCUGGACCGGGUGAAGGGUCACCUUUUGCGGUGUGGCAAGAGAAUCCCGCACGGCUGAUUCCGCUUGCUGCUGAGGGGCUGCGGCGCGGUGGGGAUUGACGGCGGGUGGACCAAUGGAGCGGCGCUGCUCCAAAUAAGGACAAGGAGCACUAUAGCAAGCUGUAGCCGAGGGUCUGCGAGGGGCUCACUGACUCCUCCAAGGUCAUUGUCUUUGUCUUCAAGGGAGCGUCCUCCAUCUCUGCCACGUUUCCUCCGCCAGUGCAGGCUGCCUCCUCCACACGAGUUGUUCUUUGGGGGCCUGUACCGUCACCGUCCACAUCACAGGGGACACCAGUUCCUGCCAAAUGCUCUGGGAGCGCCGGAGCCCGACAGCAUGUCGGCAAAGGAGAGAUGGAGUGAGUGAGUGAGAGAGGAACCGAGCGGGGAGCCCCUGGAUGCAGAGAGGAGGAUAAAGGAGCUGCGGAGCAGAGACCGACGGGGGCUCUGAUGGGACGAGAGAGAGGGGAAGGGAGAUGAAGUGCCACAAGGUGCCUUGGAGCUGGAGGAAGGUAUUUGCUCUAAAGCUUUAAAAAGAGGCAACUGAAUGUAACGGAUUUUUUUCCCCCUGAUAUUUAGACAGCAUGCUCUGAAGUACUUAUUUCUGUCUGGCUUUCAGUGGCGCGUUUCCUUGGCAGCCCAGCAGCAUCUCCCUCAGGCAGUGCCACUGGCCAGAUGUCCCUCCUCAUUGUGUAGCACACAAAAAACCUUGUAGUCCAAUUAUAACUGUGUAUUUUGGAGAGAGAUAGUGUUACGGUAUCAGUUCACGCCUAUGCAAGUGAAAUUAGUGCCCAAAGAAAGUCAGAUACUUUUAUAGCUAAGUAUUUUUAUUUGAUGUAUAUUAACGUAAUGCACACCUUUUCACCGAAAGGGAAGGGACAAGGCAUUUCCCAACACCGUUGAGAAGGUUUACUGUUACGCUAAGAACGUGUUCCAAAUGGCAUCGGUUAGCCUUAACCCUGACUUCAAGAGUUGAGCUGGCGCUGGCUUUUGAAGGCUGUGCUGUGUUUGGAGCUGAGCUGUUUCCCCAGAAUCCUCCUGUAGCUCAGCUCCUCUCCUGUCCCUCUGACAGAAUUCCUCCACUCUCUUCUGGGCUAUUUUUUAAGAUGCUGAGGUAUAACUGGGGAUUUUUGUUUUCCAGGUGUCUCGUUGUAGGCAUCGCGUGCUGCUCGAGAGAUGCCCCAGCCCAGGUUUGCAGCCGCUGGCAGAGCCCCCCUGAGGGGAAGGGGGCAGCUGUUGGUCUGGGCGUUUUGGGCCUUUUUUGGGGGGGAAUAGAAGUCUGUGUGUGUGUCUCAGGGGGUGAUGGUGUCAUUUGGGACACUGUGAUGUAAC